rnacentral:ncRNA from 10 species
AUUAAAACAUCUUCAAUAAAUCGUAUAAUAGAUCGAAUGUGGCGGUCAAGUUUCUACCAUAUCACCGUAAAUGAUAUGACUACGAUUGAAUCUUUUCCUGUU